GAUGAACGCUAGCGGCAGGCUUAACACAUGCAAGUCGAGGGGCAGCAUAAUGGAUAGCAAUAUCUAUGGUGGCGACCGGCGCACGGGUGCGUAACGCGUAUGCAACCUACCUUUAACAGGGGGAUAACACUGAGAAAUUGGUACUAAUACCCCAUAAUAUCAUAGAAGGCAUCUUUUAUGGUUGAAAAUUCCGAUGGUUAGAGAUGGGCAUGCGUUGUAUUAGCUAGUUGGUGAGGUAACGGCUCACCAAGGCGACGAUACAUAGGGGGACUGAGAGGUUAACCCCCCACACUGGUACUGAGACACGGACCAGACUCCUACGGGAGGCAGCAGUGAGGAAUAUUGGUCAAUGGACGCAAGUCUGAACCAGCCAUGCCGCGUGCAGGAUGACGGCUCUAUGAGUUGUAAACUGCUUUUGUACUAGGGUAAACUCACCUACGUGUAGGUGACUGAAAGUAUAGUACGAAUAAGGAUCGGCUAACUCCGU
rnacentral:rRNA from 1 species